rnacentral:misc_RNA from 1 species
GCGCUCUUCCUCGGAGCUACCCAGGCGGCUGGUGUGCAGCAAGCUCCGCGCCGACCCCUGACGCCUGACGCCUGUCCCCGGCCCGGCAUGAGCCGCUACCUGCUGCCGCUGUCGGCGCUGGGCACGGUAGCAGGCGCCGCCGUGCUGCUCAAGGACUAUGUCACCGGUGGGGCUUGCCCCAGCAAGGCCACCAUCCCUGGGAAGACGGUCAUCGUGACGGGUGCCAACACAGGCAUCGGGAAGCAGACCGCCUUGGAACUGGCCAGGAGAGGAGGCAACAUCAUCCUGGCCUGCCGAGACAUGGAGAAGUGUGAGGCGGCAGCAAAGGACAUCCGCGGGGAGACCCUCAAUCACCAUGUCAACGCCCGGCACCUGGACUUGGCUUCCCUCAAGUCUAUCCGAGAGUUUGCAGCAAAGAUCAUUGAAGGAGUAAACUGAGUCACAGAGAAGUGAUGUGACUUGGCCAGGAUCAUGCAGCUGGUCGGGGUGGAGCCAGGCUUUGAACCUGUCUGUCCUGCUCCAGAGCUGGUAUUCAUGACGGGUGUGCUGCAACCCC